rnacentral:rRNA from 1 species
UUAAACGGUAGGGUAUUGGCCUACCGUGGCAAUGACGGGUAACGGGGAAUUAGGGUUCGAUUCCGGAGAGGGAGCCUGAGAAACGGCUACCACAUCUAAGGAAGGCAGCAGGCGCGCAAAUUACCCAAUCCUAAUACAGGGAGGUAGUGACAAGAAAUAACAAUACAGGACUUUAUGGUUUGUAACAUGGAAUCCGACGAAAAUCG